CGGAGAGUUUGAUCCUGGCUCAGGACGAACGCUGGCGGCAUGCCUAAUACAUGCAAGUCGAACGAGCUUCCGUUGAAUGACGUGCUUGCACUGAUUUCAACAAUGAAGCGAGUGGCGAACUGGUGAGUAACACGUGGGGAAUCUGCCCAGAAGCAGGGGAUAACACUUGGAAACAGGUGCUAAUACCGUAUAACAACAAAAUCCGCAUGGAUCUUGUUUGAAAGGUGGCUUCGGCUAUCACUUCUGGAUGAUCCCGCGGCGUAUUAGUUAGUUGGUGAGGUAAAGGCCCACCAAGACGAUGAUACGUAGCCGACCUGAGAGGGUAAUCGGCCACAUUGGGACUGAGACACGGCCCAAACUCCUACGGGAGGCAGCAGUAGGGAAUCUUCCACAAUGGACGAAAGUCUGAUGGAGCAACGCCGCGUGAGUGAAGAAGGGUUUCGGCUCGUAAAACUCUGUUGUUAAAGAAGAACAUAUCUGAGAGUAACUGUUCAGGUAUUGACGGUAUUUAACCAGAAAGCCACGGCUAACUACGUGCCAGCAGCCGCGGUAAUACGUAGGUGGCAAGCGUUGUCCGGAUUUAUUGGGCGUAAAGCGAGCGCAGGCGGUUUUUUAAGUCUGAUGUGAAAGCCUUCGGCUCAACCGAAGAAGUGCAUCGGAAACUGGGAAACUUGAGUGCAGAAGAGGACAGUGGAACUCCAUGUGUAGCGGUGAAAUGCGUAGAUAUAUGGAAGAACACCAGUGGCGAAGGCGGCUGUCUGGUCUGUAACUGACGCUGAGGCUCGAAAGUAUGGGUAGCAAACAGGAUUAGAUACCCUGGUAGUCCAUACCGUAAACGAUGAAUGCUAAGUGUUGGA
rnacentral:rRNA from 1 species